GAGGGGAUGGUGGAUGGCGUGGCACUUCCCUGAGACGCAUGGCAGCCGUCCACCGUUCACGACCAACAGACAACAAAAGCAGCAGUUGAACCAGCCGUGACCUCUGACCUCUGACCUGCUUACACUGUUCAGCAGGUUCAGUACUGGGAUGCUAUGAUGGGCCGACUGGAGGUCGCUGUGAACGGGAACAGCACCAAGACCUGAGAGACAAGUCUACAUCCAGUGACACUUUGAGGUCUGUGGCUUGGACUGAAAUAUCUCUACAAUGGUUGGAUGAUUUGUGAUGAAAUGUGGUUCAUCAUUUA